GGGGCAUCCAAUAAAGAUAGGAAGACGUUGAGAAGAUUAGCAAGCAGUUUCUUUCUCAAUGAAGAAGUUUUGUAUAAGAGGAAGUAUGACAUGGUCUUGCUCAGAUAUGUAGACAGACGUGAAGCAGACAUGCUAAUGCAAGAAGUACAUGAAGGAUCCUUUGGCACUCAUGCCAACGGACAUGCAAUGGCUAGAAAGAUGUUGAGAGCUGGUUACUAUUGGAUGACAAUGGAAUCUGAUUGUUGCAAGUAUGUGAAGAAAUGUCAUAAAUGCCAGAUUUAUGCGGAUAGGAUGCACGUGCCGCCGACCCUCCUCAAUGUUAUCUCUUCACCUUGGCCUUUC